rnacentral:lncRNA from 1 species
UGAUGAGUUAAAUUGCUUGUCUAAGCAACGAAAAUUCUGUCUAUAAUAGAAACUCAACUCUUGGAACCAAAACAAGUUGCAACACGAGAAGCAUAUAUGUACAAAGCAGCUACCAUUUCCAAGAAUCCAUUGUAAAAUGAGAAAUUAAUCCUGUACUUCAAAGUCAUAUUGGGAUUAUUAUUGCUACUUUUGAGAUCAAUUUCUCAACAACCCCUUAUUUCUUCAAUGGAGUCCCAAUUCCUGACCUCAAAUGCAUCAGCAACCCCCAUAAGUACAUCCCGGGACAGUUUCCUAUAGCCUUAGACUCAACUUUGUUUGGCCACAAGAUCUCUGUCAAAAUCAAUGGAAUAUUCUCUUGGCCCAAAAUCGCCAUAGCUGCUAUAAUAGCAUCCACCAUCAUGUCGAAUAAAUUCAGGUAGUGGAUAUCGAUGAUGGUGUAACAUUAAAUGGGUGUUCUUGGAACAAAGCUUACCCAAUUCACUUUCCACACUAAAUGAUUCCAAAAUGAAGUUAUCACUUUCUGUUCUUUGUUUCCUUCUUCGGCGGCUACUUAUCUACUACUAUUAUUACCAUGUUGCUGGAAUAUUCCCACUGACGUUGGCUGCGACAAGUGGGGCUUCUACCUCACGUUGUGAUUGGCAAGAAAUUAAUAAUGGCCUUGCCUUCUAAAAGAUUGUAUGCCGCAAAUCAUAUUUUACCAUACGGGAGGCAAAUUAUUAUUGGUGGCAGAGCCUCAAUGGUCAUUGUACUUCUACCUUUGAGAAGACGACGACAGAUGUGAUUGGAUUUCAUAAUUAGAGAAAG